GAUGAACGCUGGCGGCGUGCCUAAUACAUGCAAGUCGAGCGAACGGGCGAGAAGCUUGCUUCUCUGAUGUUAGCGGCGGACGGGUGAGUAACACGUGGAUAACCUACCUAUAAGACUGGGAUAACUUCGGGAAACCGGAGCUAAUACCGGAUAAUAUUUUGAACCGCAUGGUUCAAAAGUGAAAGACGGUCUUGCUGUCACUUAUAGAUGGAUCCGCGCUGCUUUAGCUAGUUGGUAAGGUAACGGCUUACCAAGGCAACGAUGCAUAGCCGACCUGAGAGGGUGAUCGGCCACACUGGAACUGAGACACGGUCCAGACUCCUACGGGAGGCAGCAGUAGGGAAUCUUCCGCAAUGGGCGAAAGCCUGACGGAGCAACGCCGCGUGAGUGAUGAAGGUCUUCGGAUCGUAAAACUCUGUUAUUAGGGAAGAACAUAUGUGUAAGUAACUGUGCACAUCUUGACGGUACCUAAUCAGAAAGCCACGGCUAACUACGUG
rnacentral:rRNA from 1 species